rnacentral:rRNA from 1 species
UACGUAGGGUGCGAGCGUUAAUCGGAAUUACUGGGCGUAAAGCGUGCGCAGGCGGUUUUGUAAGACUGUCGUGAAAUCCCCGGGCUUAACCUGGGAAUUGCGAUGGUGACUGCAAGGCUAGAGUUUGGCAGAGGGGGGUAGAAUUCCACGUGUAGCAGUGAAAUGCGUAGAGAUGUGGAGGAACACCGAUGGCGAAGGCAGCCCCCUGGGUCAAAACUGACGCUCAUGCACGAAAGCGUGGGGAGCGAACGGG